UACGUAGGGUGCGAGCGUUGUCCGGAAUUAUUGGGCGUAAAGAGCUCGUAGGCGGCCUGUUGCGUCGGUUGUGAAAGCCCGGGGCUUAACCCCGGGUCUGCAGUCGAUACGGGCAGGCUAGAGUUCGGUAGGGGAGAUCGGAAUUCCUGGUGUAGCGGUGAAAUGCGCAGAUAUCAGGAGGAACACCGGUGGCGAAGGCGGGACUCUGGGCCGAUACUGACGCUCAUGCACGAAAGCGUGGGGAGCAAACAGG
rnacentral:rRNA from 1 species